UACGGGGGGGCAAGCGUUGUUCGGAAUUACUGGGCGUAAAGGGCUCGUAGGCGGCCAACUAAGUCAUACGUGAAAUCCCUCGGCUUAACCGGGGAACUGCGUCUGAUACUGGAUGGCUUGAGUUCGGGAGAGGGAUGCGGAAUUCCAGGUGUAGCGGUGAGAUGCGUAGAUAUCUGGAGGAACACCGGUGGCGAAGGCGGCAUUCUGGACCAUAACUGACACUGAGAGACGAAAGCCAGGGGAGCAAACGG
rnacentral:rRNA from 1 species